UACGUAGGGUGCGAGCGUUAAUCGGAAUUACUGGGCGUAAAGCGUGCGCAGGCGGUUUUGUAAGCCAGAUGUGAAAUCCCCGGGCUUAACCUGGGAAUGGCAUUUGGGACUGCAAGGCUUGAGUGCGGCAGAGGAGACUGGAAUUCCUGGUGUAGCAGUGAAAUGCGUAGAUAUCAGGAGGAACACCGAUGGCGAAGGCAGGUCUCUGGGCUGACACUGACGUUCAUGCACGAAAGCGUGGGGAGCAAACAGG
rnacentral:rRNA from 1 species